AUUGAACGCUGGCGGCAGGCCUAACACAUGCAAGUCGAGCGAGCGGCGGACGGGUGAGUAAUGUCUGGGAAACUGACUGAUGGAGGGGGAUAACUAAUGGAAACGGUAGCUAAUACCGCAUACCAUCAGAUGUGCCCAGAUGGGAUUAGCUAGUAGGUGGGGUAACGGCUCACCUAGGCGACGAUCCCUAUCUGGUCUGAGAGGAUGACCAGCCACACUGGAACUGGGACACGUUCCAGGCUCCUACGGGAGGCAGCAUUGGGGAAUAUUGCACAAGGGGCGCAAGCCUGAUGCAGCCAUGCCGGGUGUGUGAAGAAGGCCUUCGGGUUGUAAAGCACUUUCAGCGGGGAGGCGUUACCCGCAGAAGAAGCACCGGCUAACUCCGUGCCAACAGCCGCGGUAAUUC
rnacentral:rRNA from 1 species